ACAAAAACCAAAAAAAAA
rnacentral:sRNA from 1 species